GAUCCUGGCUCAGGAUGAACGCUGGCGGCGUGCCUAACACAUGCAAGUCGAACGGAGUUCUUAAGGAAUGCGACUUCGGUCAAAUGACUUUUGAACUUAGUGGCGGACGGGUGAGUAACGCGUGAGCAACCUGCCUUUCAGAGGGGGGAUAACAUUUGGAAACAGAUGCUAAUACCGCAUAAGAUCACAGUACCGCAUGAUACAGUGAUCAAAGGAGCAAUCCGCUGAAAGAUGGGCUCGCGUCCGAUUAGAUAGUUGGUGAGGUAACGGCUCACCAAGUCGACGAUCGGUAGCCGGACUGAGAGGUUGAACGGCCACAUUGGGACUGAGACACGGCCCAGACUCCUACGGGAGGCAGCAGUGGGGAAUAUUGCACAAUGGGCGAAAGCCUGAUGCAGCAACGCCGCGUGAGGGAAGACGGUUUUCGGAUUGUAAACCUCUGUUUUCGGUGACGAACAAAUGACGGUAACCGAGUAGGAAGCCACGGCUAACUACGUG
rnacentral:rRNA from 1 species